GACGAACGCUGGCGGCGUGCUUAACACAUGCAAGUCGAACGGAAAGGCCCUGCUUUUGUGGGGUGCUCGAGUGGCGAACGGGUGAGUAACACGUGAGUAACCUGCCCUUGACUUUGGGAUAACUUCUGGAAACUGGGGCUAAUAUCGGAUAGGAGAUCCUGCUGCACGGUGGGGGUUGGAAAGUUUCGGCGGUUGGGGAUGGACUCGAGGCUUAUCAGCUUGUUGGUGGGGUAGUGGCUUACCAAGGUUUUGACGGGUAGCCGGCCUGGGAGGGUGACCGGCCACAUUGGGACUAAGAUACGGCCCAGACGCCUACGGGAGGCAGCGGUGGAGAAUAUUGCACAAUGGGCGGAAGCCUGAUACAGCAGCGCCGCGUGCGGGAUGACGGCCUUCGAGUUAUGAACCGCUUUCUCCUGUGACAAAGCGUGAGUGACGGUAAUGGGUAAGAAAGCACCGGCUAACUACGUG
rnacentral:rRNA from 1 species